CAGGGGAAUCCAGGAACACCUGAAAACUGGACUCUACCAACGGAGCAAAGGGGACAGGAGCCAGAACCAGGGAUCCAGCGAGAGUUCACACCAAACGCAGCCUGCAGGAAGAAACCAGAGGCCUUGUUCAUCUUGCAAGAUGCCUGGGCAUCUAAGACGUCAGAACAUACUUUCCAAAGACCUGACAGUGAACCCUACUCCGGAAGUGCUCUCAGCAGCCUGGACCAAAGUCACUUCCUCCAUAGUCUGCGGCCAUCUUUUCUUCAAGCUGAAGCUGGGUCAGA